rnacentral:misc_RNA from 1 species
AUUAUUAUUAUUAUUUUUUUAAAUUGCCACAUAAGUCAUGAUCAAUCCACACUAAUCUAUUUGGAGGUUCAUUAGUUCAGCUCCUGUCAAACAGUGGAACUGCAUAAUUCCAUCAGAAAUCAACUACUGAAAUAUACAGUUAUGUUGACAUGAUUUGGUUAGGCUAGUGUCAUAGACAAAACCAUGAACUCAAUUCAAUACAUCUAGCUAUUCAACUAGAGAUAUUAAUCCAAGCACCCAUUUAGUUUA